UACGGGGGGAGCAAGCGUUGUUCGGAUUUACUGGGCGUAAAGGGCGCGUAGGCGGCCAGCACAAUUCAGUUGUGAAAUCUCCGAGCUUAACUCGGAACGGUCAACUGAUACUGUGCGGCUAGAGUGCGGAAGGGGCAACUGGAAUUCUUGGUGUAGCGGUGAGAUGCGUAGAUAUCAAGAGGAACACCUGCGGCGAAGGCGGGUUGCUGGGCCGACACUGACGCUGAGGCGCGAAAGCCAGGGGAGCGAACGGG
rnacentral:rRNA from 1 species